rnacentral:rRNA from 1 species
UACGUAGGGGGCAAGCGUUGUCCGGAUUUAUUGGGCGUAAAGAGCGUGUAGGCGGUUCGGUAGGUCCGUUGUGAAAACUCGAGGCUCAACCUCGAGACGCCGAUGGAAACCCUCGAACUAGAGUCCGGAAGAGGAGAGUGGAAUUCCCGGUGUAGCGGUGGAAUGCGUAGAGAUCGGGAAGAACACCAGUGGCGAAGGCGGUCUGCUGGGCCGUUGCUGACGCUGAGGCGCGACAGCGUGGGGAGCAAACAGG